rnacentral:misc_RNA from 1 species
GAAAUGCGAUAAGUAGUGUGAAUUGCAGAAUUCAGUGAAUCAUCGAAUCUUUGAACGCACAUUGCGCCCCUUGGUAUUCCAUGGGGCAUGCCUGUUCGAGCGUCAUUUGUUCCCUCAAGCUCUGCUUGGUGUUGGGUGUUUGUCCCGUCUCCGCGCGUGGACUCGCCCCAAAGUGAUUGGCAGCCGGCGUACUGGUCCCGGAGCGCAGCACAUGUCGCGCAAACGAGUGCCUUGGUACGGCGGCGUCCAUAAGCCCCUCUCUCACGCUCUUGACCUCGGAUCAGGUAGGGAUACCCGCUGAACUUAAGC